rnacentral:rRNA from 1 species
UACGAAGGGGGCUAGCGUUGCUCGGAAUGACUGGGCGUAAAGGGCGCGUAGGCGGAUGGCACAGUCAGAUGUGAAAUUCCCGGGCUUAACCUGGGGGCUGCAUUUGAUACGUGUGAUCUAGAGUGAGGAAGAGGGUCGUGGAAUUCCCCAGUGUAGAGGUGAAAUUCGUAGAUAUUGGGAAGAACACCGGUGGCGAAGGCGGCGACCUGGUCCUUGACUGACGCUGAGGCGCGAAAGCGUGGGGAGCAAACAGG